AAGUCGUAACAAGGUUUCCGUAGGUGAACCUGCGGAAGGAUCAUUAACGAGAGAAGGUUCCCCCCGGGGAACCCCACCUCCCAACCCUUGCGAAUGAACCACCGUUGCUUUGGCGGGACAGCCCCUCGGGGCCCCAAGCGCCCGCCAGAGGCCCCAACAAAUUCGUUUCGAACCAACCCGUCUGAAUCUUUUGAAUAUCGAAAUCAAGCAAAAACUUUCAACAAUGGAUCUCUUGGUUCUGGCAUCGAUGAAGAACGCAGCGAAAUGCGAUAAGUAAUGUGAAUUGCAGAAUUCAGUGAAUCAUCGAAUCUUUGAACGCACAUUGCGCCCCCUGGCAUUCCGGGGGGCAUGCCUGUUCGAGCGUCAUUACGCCAGUCGAGCCCCGCUCGGUGAUGGGGGGUCCGAUCGUCCCGCGGGACGCCCCCGAAAGUCAGCGGCGACGUCGCCGGAUCGGGAGCGCAGUGACACUCGUUUCGCUCUCCGUCCCCGGCGGCCCGUCGGCCGGACAAACCCAAAAUUUCUCACGAUUGACCUCGGAUCAGGUAGGGAUACCCGCUGAACUUAAGCAUAUCAAUAAGCGGAGGAAAAGAAACCAACAGGGAUUGCCUCAGUAACGGCGAGUGAAGCGGCAACAGCUCAAAUUUGAAAUCUGGCUCCCUCCCCGGGGCCCGAGUUGUAAUUUGCAGAAGGUGCCUCCGGGGUGACGACGGUCUAAGUUCCCUGGAACGGGGCGUCACAGAGGGUGAGAAUCCCGUACGCGACCGCCCGUCCCCCCGGUGCGAGGCCCUUUCGACGAGUCGAGUUGUUUGGGAAUGCAGCUCAAAAUGGGUGGUAAAUUUCAUCUAAAGCUAAAUACCGGCCAGAGACCGAUAGCGCACAAGUAGAGUGAUCGAAAGGUGAAAAGCACUUUGGAAAGAGAGUUAAACAGUACGUGAAAUUGUUGAAGGGGAAGCGCUUGCAACCAGACUCGCGCGCGGGCGCUCAGCCUCCCUCCGGGGUGGUGCACUCGUCCGCGCUCGGGCCAGCAUCGGUUCCGGCCGCCGGACGAAGGUUCGGGGAAUGUAGCUCCCUCCGGGGAGUGUUAUAGCCCCGUUCGGAAUGCGGCGUGUCGGGUCCGAGGACCGCGCUUCGGCUAGGAUGCUGGCGUAAUGGUUGCCAGCGACC
rnacentral:rRNA from 1 species